UUUUUGCAGCUCUUAAUUUAGCCGAUUUCGAGUGGCAAUACUUUCUUAGACGUUCUCCUUUUUCGAAACCAUGGCUGCCACACUAUACACUUUCGAAAACAAUUUCCGCUCCCAGAAGAUAUUGAUUGCAGCACAGUAUAGCGGCUUUCCCAUCAAUGUGCCGAAGGAUUUUGUCUUGGGAGAAAGCAACAAAACUGAAGAUUUUCUGAAAAAAUUUCCAAACGGGAAGGUAAAAGAAAAAUUCGUGUCAUCUAUUAUGAAAUAUGUUGAUUACAUAUAAUCGUUUUGUUAAGAUUACAAUCUUUAUAUUUCAAAAUAACAAAAAUCUGUUAAACCUGUGACAAAUAUCUGUGAAAUGUAAAAUUUUCUUAAGAAAAUUUACAAUUUUUAUUGAAUUGUAUUAAACCUUGUAUGUUUUACGUGCA